rnacentral:rRNA from 1 species
UACGUAGGUGGCAAGCGUUGUCCGGAAUUAUUGGGCGUAAAGCGCGCGCAGGCGGUCCUUUAAGUCUGAUGUGAAAUCCCUCGGCUUAACCUAGGAAGUGCAUCCGAAACUGCAGUGCUUGAGUACUUAAGAGGAUCGCGGAAUUCCCGGUGUAGAGGUGAAAUUCGUAGAUAUCGGGAGGAACACCAGUGGCGAAGGCGGCGAUCUGGGAAGAUACUGACGCUGAGGUGCGAAAGCGUGGGGAGCAAACAGG